AUUAUUUGGAAGAGAGCAGACGGCUGUGAGCAGGGAAGAGAGGCGGACGGAAAGUGUGUGUGGUGUUCGUUUUGGAUAUUGUGUGUGUCGAUCCCUGCGGAUUUAUGAGUGGUGCCAGCUUUGGGUCAUGUGUUGAUCCCCAGGAGUGGAUUUUACCUAGACGUUGCAAUUUUGGGGUGUGAGUAACUAAGACUAACGAUUUGCUCAAAACAUAUGACAGUUGGAAGUAUAUUGAAAUGAACAUGUGUAUGUCGUCUUGGUGACCUUAAGAGAACUGUUUGAGCAACCUGUGCGCUGUAGUAGUUUCGGUAUUGAAUAAUAUGUGACGUAUAUAUCUUAUGAUUUAGAACAGAGUGAUCCUGGGCGGUAUGGUUUAAAUUGAUUUGCUUGAAAGACUUGUAUUACAAUUAAUGUUGAUUGAUUUAAAGUUUUAUUUGGUUCCCACGACAAAUCUUUGUGAUAUAUGAUUGAAAAAACGUGCAAGGGGACGCGUGCGUGUUGUGAGUGAAAGUGAGAUCUGAAAAAAAAACCGCGUCUGACACAUGACCCCUCUAUUAUUAUAAACACCCCAACAGAAAAAACAUCCUUACCUGUGUAGAAGUCAAGAAUUUGUAGUAGAUGCACCCGCUAUCGGAGUUUUUCUUCACAAUACAAACCAUAUUUAAUUUUCACUGAUGUUAGAGAGCACGUAGAAUGUUUGUCCUGAGUCAAUAUAAUCAGUGAACGACAGACUGGCGUUAGUUAAAUUUUCUUUGUUUCCUCUUGUGAUUUCUGUCUUGUUGUUUCAUUAAAACUCUUUUUUUAUCUCAGUGCUGUCAUUAUCUGGCUUUUAUUGAUGUUUGCCUGCCUCAUAUCGAGCUAGCAAAUUUUUUCACUAAAGAAAGGACUACGACAGCGAAAGCUAUGGAGGACAAAUCCAACAAAACACAUUUCUUUCAACUAAUGUCGGAAAUAGUCUUCAGAUUAAAAAUCAUCUCUAAUAAAAGAUGUGAGAGGACAAAUGCAUCUGAAAGCUUAAAAUCACUUAAGGUAGUUCACGGAGGGAAGAUAUUUUCUGAAGGUAAACUGCAGGUUCAAAGAGAAAGGUUGCUAAGUGCAACGGAUCAACGUGUGUUUGUCCUUUUGCCACGUGUACACUCCCAGUCUGCCUGGCACUAACGGUCCCAUGAGUCACUGCACGUGUCGCAUGUCCGAUGUCUGGGAUAAUACGACCGUUAUUGCUUGGGCUGCACACGUUUUCUACAUACCAAUGCAGUCAUUCCGUCCUAGACUGCGAUGACUCAAUCAGUCAUGGAAUCAAGUUGGGGGAUCCUUGAAGCAUGUGUCAAAAGGAGAAGCAGGCCUGUGGGGGGUUCAUUCUGCCGAUAGGACCUACUAUCAUGAGGCAAGGAUUUCAACAGAUGUCCAAUCAUAUCACUAGAGAAGCGCC